rnacentral:lncRNA from 1 species
CCGGGGCAUGGAGAGGUUGUUUAUAGUGAGGGGAGAGGGAAAUGAGAUGAAGCUAGGGAGGCAAGCAGAGAUGAUAGAACGCAUGCUAGGGAAAAACCCACGAGGAACUGCCCUGGAUUUCCCCAGCAACUCAAGCAUUUGGGUUUCUGUGACUUUGCUGCCGCUGCUACCUCUUCCCAGAAUGCUUUUCCCACAGACUCUGCCUUGUGAAAGCCCACGCCUCUCAGAGAUCUGGCUGAAGCAUCACCUUAUCUGUGAACCCCUGCCUGAUCACCACUCCCCGGACCUUACCCUGGUAGAAUCAGGGAUUUCAUUCUGUCCCAUCAUCGCCUCUUCCCUACACAACUUAAAGGAAAUGCUUAGGUGAGCACAGACCCUGCUGGGUAGGCAAGCACCUGCCAGGUCGCUGACUGGAAACCCAGGUAAUUCUAUACUCCACAUUUUCUGGAUGAAGGUUCCUCUGGCAUGGGCUGUCAGGGAUGUCAAAUGGCUCAUUGAGAAAGCCUCUGCUCAGCAUGCCAACAGAAGACACUGCUUUUCCACAUCUACUCUGAUGUCAGGGAAGAGGUGUCCCUGGGUGCUACAGCCGUGGGCAUGAUAGAGACCAACCAGGAGAGGCAAGGCCCUAAACUAAUUAAAGAGUAGCACUAUGUGUCUCAGAGGGUGAAAGAAGAUGGAGGAACGCCUCUGAGACUCAGGAAAGGAGUAGAGCUGCUAGAUCUGAAAUGCAGACUAAAACAGCAGGAAAAAUGGAACAACGCGUGGACACUCUGGACUGCUGACCAAAUGCUGGAGAGGCUUCCUCUGCUCUCUGGUAUCCUCUUGGAUGAAGUUGGGUGAGGAUGUCUCCAAAACAAUCAAAAUUUUGUGUCCCUCCAGCCUGGCAAAAUGAGAGCAUCAAACCCAGAUGUAAGUUGAUUUUAAUAAAAGAAAGCCAUUCAAUAUUCUCGUAUAUCUGAGUUUGUUGCUUGAGAUUCACAACAAGCUACACAGGCUUAGCUGCCCUUAGGUUUUUUAAUUUGUCCCAGAAACCUUUAAAUGCAUUCCUCUUUAUUUGAUUUUUUAAGUUAACUCAAAGUGAAUUUGUUACUUGCACCCAAAAGGACCCUACCUAAAACAUAGGUUCUAUCUGUGCAGCCACAUUCAUUUCUGAAACUAUCUUCUUUUAUCUCUGGCUAGGAAUGUUUUAAAUCAUAUUGUCAGACUCAUUUUGAGGGUCCUGUUAUCCAACUUGAGGUGUUUUGCUUUUUUGAAGAGUCAGUUCCCGGGAUCAAGUUCAUAUUUCACUUCCCGUUUGACAGCUGCAUUAUCAAAGUUUAGCGCCUGGGGUUUCCUCUCUUCACCCCCUGCAGAUUCCAUGCUGACCUGUUUCUUUCAUUUCCUCAUCAUUUCCAGGCA